GGAGGAAGGUGGGAUGACGUCAAGUCCUCAUGGCCCUUAUGACCAGGGCUACACACGUGCUACAAUGGCCGGUACAAAGAGUUGCGAUACCGCGAGGUGGAGCUAAUCUCAAUAACGCCGGUCUCAGUUCGGAUUGGAGUCUGCAACUCGACUCCAUGAAGUUGGAAUCGCUAGUAAUCGCGGAUCAGCACGCCGCGGUGAAUACGUUCCCGGGCCUU
rnacentral:rRNA from 1 species